UUCAAAUCAUCAGCUCGUUAAGAGAGAGAGAGAUCCAUGAACUGAAAUGAGUGUGUCAGCUGUCAGGUAGAAGAGACAUACAAAAUGUACAGAGCAGUGGGUCCACCAAAUAAGAGUUAAGAACCACCGCUUUAUACUACUGAGUUAUUGGUUAUGUGGUAAGGGGUUGUUUGGAAGUGUUUUGUUUAGUUAUACAAUGACGAUUUUUUUUUUGUCUUUCUGAAUGUUAUUUUAUUAUUUGCGGUUUUGAACCUUUUUGUGAGCUCGGUUUCUGUUGGUUGGGGGACCAACAGAUUAAAACAUUACCAUGAAAAAAAAAAGUAAACAGAAAUGUAAUGAAAUAUCACAAUAAAAACGUCUUUAGACAAGUCCCUACUGUAGCUUUCACUUUACUGAGAAACCGAAUCUGAUGAGGAGAGGGAGGAGUUCACUGAGGAAGUGUUAGAGUAUUUAAGCGAGAGGAAACAGAGACCCCUCCUUUCUAUCCUGCAGACUCUUGUCUGAUAUGGAGCGGAGAUGGACAGCUUGUAUGCUGUGAUCUAGUGUGCAGACUGCUGCCACUAGAUGACUGCACACGAGUUGAGACGUCACGCUGCCUAAGGAUCUCUUUGGCAUUGUGCCGAUGCUUGCGUUUAUUAUUUUAUUUUGAGGAGGAGAGGAGGAGAACCCAACUGCCAAGGGAUUCGGGCACUCGGGUCCACUGCCCUGUUCUAGUGCAUUCUCUGGCAACACUGGAUCUCUGGCCGGGGUCCAGUGGACCUGAAGUGAACAGCGCCAGGUCUAUGACCCGCUGACAAAGCACCAGAAAACUAGAAGCAACCAAACAAAUCACACAAACAAGAAAACUGAAGCCGACUACUACCCUUAAACCCCCCUUUUUCCCCUUUGGUCGGUUUCUGGUUGUCUGUUGCUUGGUUGGCAGGUGAUGAGGAUGGCCUGCUGUGAAACCAACCUGUUUUUUGUUUUGUUUUAAUGAAGGCUGAGUGCAACUCUUUCCAAAAAAAUUAAUAAAAAUGGAAAAACCUGAAACUGAAAUUAAUGUCUGUGUUUUAUUUUAUUCAAGUUAUGAAACUCUUUUUAAAGAAUAACAAGGUAAAG
rnacentral:lncRNA from 1 species